GAUCCUGGCUCAGGAUGAACGCUAGCUACAGGCUUAACACAUGCAAGUCGAGGGGAAACGACAUCGAAAGCUUGCUUUUGAUGGGCGUCGACCGGCGCACGGGUGAGUAACGCGUAUGCAACUUGCCUAUCAGAGGAGAAUAGCUCAUCGAAAGAUGAAUUAAUGCUCCAUAAAACAGGGGUUCCGCAUGGGAAUAUUUGUUAAAGAUUCAUCGCUGAUAGAUAGG
rnacentral:rRNA from 1 species